UGCAAAAUGGAGUUCAUUUUGAGUUCCAAUAGCUGAGCACCUGAGGAGAUGUCAUCAUCUCAUACAUGAUAUGAUUUUAAAGAAAAUAUUAGCCUGAUAAAAAUAUCCAAUAUAUAAGAGGAUGCAAAGGAUUCUGACAGAGACAGAUGAGUAAGAAAGGAGAAGGGAUCCAUCUAAAUACAGCAGUUAAUUAUUCAUCCAAAUGUUUAGCAAGAAAAACAGUGAACUAUUAUAUUUGGUACAAUGCAUAUAACAUUCCACAGAAAACAUCUUUUGGGCACACUAUAAACUAUGCUGCUGGAGGGAAUGUGGAGAAAUCAUGACAGAGGAAAAAUGUCUUCAGAAUGGAAUGAGGUGACCAAAACCUGUAAACAAAACAAAACCAUGUACCAUAAUUGCUACCAUCCUGGAAGAUCUCUCUGUGGUCACUCUCCAACCAC